CGGCGGAAUCAAUGCUUGCAGCAGCGCUCGCGAGGGCAGAUCCUCCCGGCUGUGUCCGGGACAGGAGCGGGUCGUCCCGGGGCCGCGGCCCUGCGCAGCCCCGCCGGGUCCUCCCGAGGAUCGCGACCGCCGACCCGCGGAGCCUGCUGGCCGCCGAGGGGAUGCACUCAGGGGGCUCCCAGGACGGAGCCACACCCCUGGGAGCCGCGGAGAGCCGCGGGGGGGGCGCUCGGAGGGAGCGGAGGCCGCCCCAGGAGAGGAGGCAGGGCGCUCCCCGCGGAGGGCGAGCCCGCCCCCAGGGCCCGGCGCCCCGGCCCCCGCCCCGGCCCCGGCCCCCACGCCCCGCCCCGCUCGAGGCGGCGCCGGGAGCCUCGCACUGACCUGCGAGCCCGCGCGCGGCGACCUCCCCUCCCGCGGCGCGCCGGCCCGGCCCGGACUGGAGCUGCGCUGAGCUCCCCGCCCGCGCCCCGCCCGCGCCCCGCCCGCGCCCCGCCGCGCCCCGCCCCCGCCCCCGCCUCGGCGCCCCGCCCCCGCGCGGCCGUCCGGGGAGCGCAGGGCUCGAGCGCACCGGCUGCGGGAGGGCGGGCAGGAGGGCGGGAGGGCGGGAGCCGGGGCCGCGGAGCCGGCGGGACUGCGGGGCCCCCCGCCCCUCGGGCCGCACAGCCAAUGGCAGCGAGCGCGGCCCGCUCCCCGCUCCCCGCUCCCCGCCGCCGCCGCCGCCGCUCCCGCCGGGGCCCGCGGGCGGGGAGGAGCUUGAGCCGGGGUCGGAGGGUCCCGGAGGGCGCGGAGGCGUUGGCGUUGGCGUUGGCGCCGGGAGCCGCGUGUGCGGAAGGCAGCUGUGGUGCCGUUACCUGUGUGUGUGUGUGGGGGGGGGGGGGGGGGGGGCAGCGGGCGGAGGCAUCCACUUUCUGCCAGUUUCUUCCCCUCGGGAACACCUGGGUCCCGCGGAGCCCCGACGCCGGGUCCGGAGCCGCGUCCUGCGGGGAGCGUGGCCGCGCGCGUCCCUCCCUUCACGCCUCAUCUCUCGCCCCUUCCGAAUACUCCGCCAAAUCGAGAGAUGAAAUGAAUCGGACGGCAGUUCCCAGCACUGCCAGGGACCGGGCAAAGCUGAAAAACUGUUAUUUCAACUGA
rnacentral:lncRNA from 1 species